CAGUGUACGUCCCUGGCCUCAGAUCAUACUCUUUAUGGCUGUUUCCUUAUGAAAAGAACAUUAUGCGUCGCGUUUCACCGUUGCUUGAGCACCUCGUCAGCUAAUAUUCUAGUGUUGAACAUCAGUAGAGGAGAACAUUAUAAGACCCUUGCAAAGGCCUGCUACAUAAAAAGUAGUAUUUCAAAUGGUAGUGGUCUCACUCAAAUCAUUACCGGAAUACGGUUGUUUCAAAGAACUGGCAAAAUGUGAAGAUUAUCCGUAAUAGCCGAAGAAUUUUAAUAUUUUUCAACAAUUCAAAUUAAAUUGUAAACUAGAAGAAAGCUGCUUUGUAUUGAAAACGAAAUGUUUUAUGUGGACAUUUUAGUAAAUAAAUAAAAAUAACAGUGGAA